rnacentral:rRNA from 1 species
UACGGGGGGGGCAAGCGUUGUUCGGAAUUACUGGGCGUAAAGGGCGCGUAGGCGGUUCGGUAAGUCCCGUGUGAAAUCCCUCGGCUCAACUGAGGAACUGCACGGGAGACUGCCGGGCUUGAGUUCGGGAGAGGGAAGCGGAAUUCCGGGUGGUAGCGGUGAAAUGCGUAGAUAUCCGGAGGAACACCGGUGGCGAAGGCGGCAUCCUGGACCGGUAUUGACGCUGAGGCGCGAAAGCUAGGGGAGCAAACGGG